rnacentral:rRNA from 1 species
UACGGGGGGGGGCAAGCGUUGUUCGGAAUUACUGGCGUAAAGGGCUCGUAGGCGGCCAACUAAGUCGGAUGUGAAAUCCCCAGGCUUAACCUGGGAACUGCAUUUGUGACUGCACGGCUAGAGUGUGUCAGAGGGGGGUAGAAUUCCACGUGUAGCAGUGAAAUGCGUAGAUAUGUGGAGGAAUACCGAUGGCGAAGGCAGCCCCCUGGGAUAACACUGACGCUCAUGCACGAAAGCGUGGGGAGCAAACAGG